CAGCCGCCGCGGUAAUACCGGCGGCCCGAGUGGCGGUCACUAUUAUUGGGCUUAAAGCGUCCGUAGCCGGGUUGGGAAGUCCUCCGGGAAAUCUGGCCGCUUAACGGUCAGAAUGCCGGAGGAUACUCCCAGCCUAGGGAGCGGGAGAGGCCGAGGGGCUUCCCGGAGUAGGGGGGAAAUCCUAUAAUCCCGGGAGGACCACCUGUGGCGAAGGCGCUCGGCUGGAACGCGUCCGACGGUGAGGGACGAAGGCCAGGGGAGCAAACCGGAUUAGAUACCCGGGUAGUCCUGGCUGUAAAGGAUGCGGGCUAGGUGUCGGGUGAGCUUCGGGCUCGCCCGGUGCCGUAGGGAAGCCGUUAAGCCCGCCGCCUGGGGAGUACGGCCGCAAGGCUGAAACUUAAAGGAAUUGGCGGG
rnacentral:rRNA from 1 species